rfam:Microgenomates bacterium GW2011_GWA1_48_10 TY21_C0018, whole genome shotgun sequence.
CGGGGAUUAGCGCAGUGGUAGCGCGCCUGGUUCGGGACCAGGAGGCCGUGAGUUCAAAUCUCACAUCCCCGA